AACGCGAAGAACCUUACCCAGGCUUGACAUGCAGUAGACAACGCUAGAAAUAGCGCCUCCCUUCGGGGCUGCUGCACAGGUGCUGCAUGGCUGUCGUCAGCUCGUGCCGUGAGGUGUUGGGUUAAGUCCCGCAACGAGCGCAACCCUUAUCGUUAGUUGCCAACAUGUAAUGGUGGGAACUCUAACGAGACUGCCUGGGUUAACCAGGAGGAAGGUGAGGAUGACGUCAAGUCCGCAUGGCCCUUAUGUCUGGGGCUACACACGUGCUACAAUGGUCGGUACAGAAGGCAGCGAAACCGCGAGGUGGAGCAAAUCCCAAAAGCCGAUCUCAGUUCAGAUUGUAGUCUGCAACUCGACUACAUGAAGACGGAAUUGCUAGUAAUGGCGAGUCAGCAACAUCGCCGUGAAUACGUUCCCGGGCCUUGUACACACCGUACGUC
rnacentral:rRNA from 1 species